CUUGGGCUGGCUGCCGGUCGGGGCGCAACCGAGAAGGCGGCGGGUCGCUCCGGCGCAGUGAGUUGGUGCUGUGGGCGGUUCGCAGCAAGAAGUGCGAGGUACAGACGAGCGCGAAAAGGGUCUACGUGAAGGUCCAAGGCUGAUGUCUCCAAGAGGCUUAGAACUAAUAGGCUCCUAUGAGUCCCAACCUGUGCCUUGGGAUUUGAGGACUUUUUUCCUGAGCUUUACCUCUGACCCAGGGCUGUGAUUCUGCCUCAGAGAUGAACAUUGGCAUAGACUGUCACCUUUCUCCAGUGUGCUUGGGCUACACAUGGCAAGAAGAAGAGCUCUGAGUCCAGAAUUCUGCUCCAAGAGGUGACCAAGGAGGGUACUGCAGAAGGAACUUGGGGGCAGAGCCAAGAGCUAAGGAGAGCACUGGCCUGAGGAGCUCCAUCCAGGUAGCAGAAGCAGGGCAUAACCAGAAGACUUCCCGGUCCCAAGGUCAGCGUUUCUCACCAAGUCUGCCCAGAGGAAUUUCAUAGCUGCUUCAGACCUGAGAUUGCUGGGCUCCUCCCAUGCUUCCCCUUCCCGGACUCCUAAUUGUGGUUAUCUUGUGGUUAUCCUGUCUGCAUUAUUCCACUGUAUUGGAUAUAUGGAUUCAGGCAAUUUGUCCUUUUACAUCAUAGGUUCAGAGGUCUCCAGAUCCGGAGGAAAAACAUCCAGACCUGAUGUUGAGGCCAUCACACCAUCCAAGACUUUGAUCUUAAUGCUCUUAGUAGGUAACUAAAUAGAGGUUUUGGGUUAUCUCUCUUGGGGAGAGAUUGUGUGUGGAGGGAGGGAAGUGAAUAUUUGUAAGAAAACAGACAGUGGCAGACUAAUUAUUUGUUCAAAGUAUUCACUGUCCCUCCCCUGACGCCCCACACUAUGGAAGGCCGAUUUAUACUUCCCACCUCACUGACAUUAGGCUUGGCCACAUGACUUGCUUCGGCCAAUGAGUUGUGGGCAGAAGCCAGAAGAACCAUCUCCUGGUUCUGACACUGUACUUUUCCCUGCUACAUAACAACAUCCCAGAGCAGACUUGAUCUUUCAGCAUGAAUCCCAGAGCAAAGAGGGUGUGGAGGAGUCAGAGCUGGCCCACUAGUGAUACGUAACAUAAAGAAGAAAUACACCUUUGUUACUAUGAGCCAUUGAGAUCUACAGGCCAUCGUUCCUACGACAUUCCUAGAUUAAGCUCUCUGAUAUACCUCUGAAUGGUGUACAUUAAGGCCAAAGAGGUUGAAACUCGAUUUAUUAUCCUACUAGUUAUCUGUGAGAAUCCUCUAUUGGUGGGGAUUUCCCCCACUGGCUAGAAAAUUAAGUACAAAUGUCUAUCAUUAGGCUACAAUACACGAAACUACCAUGUUGGCUGCUAGGAAAUGAGGCAGCCUGGCAUCCACAGCCUUCCACUUGAUUUUCUCCACAUCCAGCCUACUAUAGCCAAACCUGAAUCCAAUUCUCGAGUCGGUCACCAUUACCCCGUUUACCCCCUCACAACCGAAGCUGACUAGGAAUUACCAUUUACCAGAAGACUCCAGCAAUGAUAUGAGGUAACUGCGUUAUUGAGUGGUUAAGAUCUUAGAGCCAGACAACCUGGAUCUGAAACUAGGAUGCCUUCCUUAUGUGCUAGAGAACCACGAACAAGUGACUUUAUCUCUCUUGCUUUUCUCAGUUACCUCUCUGUGCCUCAGUUGCCAUUCUUCAAAAUAAGAAUGUUUGAAAGAUGAAAUGAGUUAGUGUAAGUAAAUUGUGUAGAACGGCUCCUGAUACAUAUUUGGUUCUCAGUACAUAAUGGCUAUUACUAUUUUCACCAUGAUCAUUAACAUGAUUUAAAAAAAAUUUUUUUAAUGUUUAUUUAUUUUUGAGAGAGACAAAGCGUGAGCAGGGGAGGAGCAGAGAGGAAGACACAGAAUCCGAAACAGGCUCCAGGCUCUGAACUGUCAGCACAGAGCCCGACGUGGGGCUCGAACUCACAAACCAUGAGACCAUGACCUGAGCUGAAGUUGGACACUUGACCGACUGAGCCACCCAGGCGCCCCACCAUUAUCAUUAACAUGAUUACCAUCCUCAUUUCACAACUGCAAACCCAAUGCAUAGAGAAGUUAGGUGAGUGUUCCAGCCAGGUAAGUUAAGUCUAUCUUCUCACUAAUCCAGGAAGAUAACAUCUGAACAGGCACAUAGCCUCAAACGGCCUCCCCACCUGUCCAUACCCUCCGAAUGUCCUUGCCCCCUUUUCUCCAUGAGCCUUACCGAACCUCGCCAGGCUCAUUGUUCUUUUACUACACCCUGAUGGAAAGGCCUAUCUGUGCCACGUCCAUCUGUCAUCAAACCAUGCACAACCUUACUGUGACUGGGGCUGCGUCCUGGGUACCAGAGUCUCCCCCCCGCCCCUUUCUGUGGUAGUGACACUCCUUCAAGUUCAGGGCUCCCUCCAUUACUUGGUACUCACUGCAGUGCUCAUGACAGAAAUAAACCAAAAGAUCUGUGUGAGUACAUACUGAGCAAAGAGGAGGGGGCCCUAGAAAGGGACAGGGAGGCCAGCAUCCACCUUGAUGGGUUCAGCCUCCAGCAGAGCAGGAAUUGGGGUCAGUUCCCUUGAGCGAACAAAGAGGCUCCAGAGAAAAGGAGGCGAAUACAUUAUAGUUCAAUCAUUUGAGGAAUAAUGAAGAGAACCCCAACUCACCUGGGGCCUGGCUUUCAGGAAUAAACUGGCUGUUCCCUUUUCUCCUGGGUAUCUCUCUGGAGAAAGAGCAGGGUCCUGAGAAGGGAGAACUAAGAAGGUAAAAGGAGCCAUAAGGAAGGCUAACCCUUAUGGCCUUUGCAGCUCCCAGAUUCCCCAAGCUGGAAACCCCUGAAGAGUCAGUAUGUCACCUCAGUGGUUCUGGGGACAGAGCUGGGUCAAAGGGAGCUGACGGGCAGCCUCUAGCUAUCCUACAGGAGACAGAAUUGCACAAGCCCUCCCCCACCUCUCCUGUCCAAAGGCCACAGCAGGCUUCAGGUAACUGAAGUAUCACCAAAUUCCAGCCACUCCACUGGAGAGUUACUUACUGGGCAUCUCCUCUACUAGGCCUUUUAAAAAUAUCAACAUGGAGAAGACUUUCAAGGAACUUUAAAUAUAGCCUAUGGUAUGAGAUUAAGAACACAAAACAAGGCCCAGGGCAAGGCCAAGAAAUAUAUACACUUUAAGGGAAAGAAGUUACACCUUUCCCCUCAUCCUUGGGAACCCAGCUCAAAGGUCAGUUCUCCCUGAGAAGUUCCCAAGCAUAGGUCUCUGCAAGCAUACUUUUUAAGUCCCACUAUAAUAGGGUUUUUAUAUCAUACUAUUUUCAAAGCCUGAAAACAAACAAAACACUAGCCGCAACCAUGCCAAAGAAGUUAUCAUAGCUAACAACAACAAAAGCAUGGAAAUGGCAGGCAGCAUAGCAUAGCAUAGGUCAGCACAUCUCAAACGUUAAUGUGUGUAUGGAUUCUGGGGGAUCUUGUUAAACAGACUCUGAUUCAGUGUAUGUGGGGUAGGGCCUGAGAGUCUGCAUUUCUAAAGAGUUUGAGAUGAUUCCUGUGCUAUAGUCUACAGAAUACAAGGCAUAAAGGAAUACAGAGGGGGUGGUAGUCCCAGAGAUUCGGCCCAGUUCUGCCACUGGCCAGUCUUGUGACCUUGAGCAUGUGCGCUGAAGAACGAAAAGUUAAAAUGCCCACUUGGUGAAGGACAGGAGAUUCUAAACAUAGAAAGAAAUGGCUUAAAAACUCAUGGGUCACCUGGAUUGCCUUGUCCCCAACACUAGUGAAGAGGUGACUACAGGAAGUACCCCCCAUGUAUACUGCUAAUCUUCUACACAGUUGAGCUAGAAAGGCUGGAGGAAUCUUAUUACUUAAUGAAGCAAUAAACGAAAUGGUGGCAAGGCUCUAAAUGGCCCCACUGCCCUCUGAUCCCUGGCCAAGGCCACUCCUUCACAGGUUUGUUUAUUAUUUACCCUCUCCCUCUCACACAGGAGAGCCCUCCCCGCUCUCCUCUGGCUUUUGGGAAGUCUUCCGCGGCCAUCCCCCCCACCUCUACCAUGGUGUCUAGAUACGCAGACUUCACGCUCCUGGGCUUGGAUAAUUAGGAAAUGCCACAGGGAAGGCGGUUACAGGCUCUGCCCCUUCCUUGGAUUCCUCGGCCUCUUCCUAGGGUCGUCCUUCUCCUUGGCCCGCGACUAACUCCCCAGAAGGGCUUCUGGCCCUCUCCACCCUCGAGAGCCAAACCUGAUGCUGUGGAGUCCAUAGCUGGGGCUAAGCGGCGACGUCCUUUCACUAGGUCCAAAUGUCUGUCCUGCAGCCGCAGCCCUGCGGUCCUCCCUUACGGCUCAGAGAGCAGGGAGCAAGCUAGGUGACAUCGGGCAUUCCCACUCCGCGCAGUGAUGCCCAGGCGACCUGCAAGGCCCAGAAUAGGGCAGUCAAACCCAGACUCCUGUCCGAGCGCGUAGCGCUGCCGCCCGGGGUGGUGCGGUUGCCCUGCUUUCAGGCGCGCUCUCAGACCCCUCACGAGCCGGGCCUGGACCCUCUGGCUUCGCUCCGUCGCCUUGCUCCUCGGGGCCGGACUCUGGACCCCAGUUUCACCGCAGACCCACACCCAUGAUGACUACCACACCACCAAGAGAUACGGCCGUAGCCACACCUGCUACCUCGGUACCCAGUGCGCCUCCGCGGCACGGAGCUAGCAGGGAUUCAAAAGAGAGCCUCACGGGGACACUGCAACUCGAUCUCCUAGCUCCAGGCCCCACAGCCCCUCGCGGAGGGACACUUCCAACAAUGUCACGGGCUGGCGCGCAGCGCUCGCAACAGGCCGGCGGCCCCGAAGUCUCCGAACCCACAAAGAACAAACCCCACCCCUUCCCCGGCCCCUCCUCCCAAGAUAAGUCCCGAGCCUGCGCAGACGGGCCCCCGCGCACGGAGCAAUCAACCCUGCGUGCGGGGCGGGGCGAGCGGCGCCUGCGCCCUGGAGGCCGGAGAGGAUUGAGCGGGGUGAGGUUGCUGGCGUCUCAUGGAAGCUUCUCUGUGCGUCGCUGACGUGAGUGGAGGAUUCCCCCAGCCGGCUCCCAGCGCCGGCUGGGACCUGGGAGCAACUCCCACCUUAGACGCGAUAGCCGGGUUUGGGGCUCUCCAACCAGAAGCCACCACUCUUUUUAGUUAAAAAGAGAAACGUGGGUCCUACCCUGAAUCUACGGAGUAAGGAUUUCCAGGGGGCUCUCUGGGCGUAUUUCUUACAGGGCGCCCAGGAGAUACCCAUGUCUCAUUAACUAACUGCUAUUCUAUAGGCCAUCCCAUGUUUCUCCGCCUUUCCCUCACGGCCCCAAGUUUUGAAUUCAGUGAAGGGUCAGUGAAGAAAGGACUAUGGACUCCUUCCUGCUCCACAAAGAGUAUCAGUAAGGACCUGAAAGAAAUAUUUGCGCAUCACCCCCCAACAUUCCCUUUUCCUGCUCCUUUGUAGUCAAACGUUUCUCCCAUUCCAGCCCAUUGUGACGGCUCUCUGUUCUUUCCGUAUAGUUUUGCCUUUUCCAGAGUGUCAUAUAAACAGGAUUAUAUAGUAUGUAA